rnacentral:rRNA from 1 species
GACGUAGGUGGCGAACGUUAUCCGGAAUUAUUGGGCGUAAAGGGUGCGUAGGCGGCAUGAUAAGUUAUUGGCGGGAAAUCGAGGCUCAACCUCGUGGAAACUAAUAAUACUGUUUUGCUUGAGUACAGGAGAGGUUAACGGAACUCCAUGUGGAGCGGUAAAAUGUGUAGAUAUAUGGAAGAACAUCAAUAACGGCGAAGGCAGUUAACUAUUCUGUUACUGACGUUGAGGCACGAAAGCGUGGGGAGCAAACCGG